rnacentral:miRNA from 1 species
UACCUCGUCGACCGGAAGGGUGUCCUUCCAGUCGACGAGGAGUACCUCGUCGACCGGAAGGGUGUCCUUCCAGUCGACGAGGUA